rnacentral:rRNA from 1 species
UGGUUGAUCAACUGGAGAUGAAAGAUCUUGAAUCGCUGAGGGAGGGGUCUGCGCUAUUAGAUAGUUGGCGAGGUAACGGCUCACCAAGUCAUUGAUAGUUAGGGUCUGAGAGGAUGAUCAGCCACACUGGGACUGAGAUACGGCCCAGACCUACGGGAGGCAGCAGUGAGGAAUAUUGCACAAUGGGGGCACCCUGAUGCAGCAACGCCGCGUGAGUGAUGAAGCAGUUUAUCUGUGUAGCUCUGUUGGGAGGGACGAAUUGUAGGGUUAGUUGCCUUAUUUGACGACCUCCUGAGGAAGCUCCGGCUAACUCCGUGCCAGCAGCCGCGGUAAUGGGGGGAGCAAGCGUUGUCCGGAUUUAUUGGGCGUAAAGGGCAUGUAGGUGGUCUUUUAAGUCAGUUGKUA